rnacentral:tRNA from 1 species
UCUUCCGUGGCGCAAUUGGCUAGCGCGUCUGACUGUUAUGAAGAUAUUCAGACGUCGAAAGAUGGGUUGAUAUCUAUUGCAAUCAGGAGGUUGACAGUUCAAGCCUGUCCGGGAGAG